GAAGAUUACACAUAGAUUGUCAUUUAAUUCAAUCUAAGAUCAGAUUAAAAGAAAAAAAAAAGUAUAUUAUAAAACAUUAUAUUAUCAAUCAUUGGGAUAAUGAGGUGGAGGGCUAUCAAUCUAUUCUUGAUGGAAAUUAUGACAAUUUUAAUUUCAAUGAUGACAAUAAUGAUGAUGCCUAAAGCUUCUCUAGGAUGCUCAUUAUCUUAUCGUGCUUUUAUUCUGAUUUUUGGAUAUUUGGAAAUUUAGAAUAAGCCUUUAGAAAAGGUAAAUUUCUUCUCUAAACAAUAUAAUGUCUCUUACAAUGUGGGAUAUAAUAUUUAACACUUAGAAUAAUUAUUACUAUUUUGUUGACUUUAUAAGACACCAUGAGGAUGAAAAUUUAAUACUAGAAUGGACUGAUCACUGUAAACGAUAGUAAAAAUUGGAAUUACAUCAUUUGAUGACCAAUGUCUGUUACACAACAGACAAAGAGACUCAUCUAAAAUGAUGUUAAGAAACUUUAAUACAUUUUAAAUCCUAUAUAAGCCUUGGACCGCGUUCACUUCCAUAGGAUGUUCAAGUGCACCCUCAUUUUCAGAAUGAAUUAUAGUCUUGCACCAUGGUAUUUAUCCGGAACUUGAACUGUCUUCCUCUUGCUUUAACUCUCAUCCUUGUCACCUUUUGCAUUAAACUAAAAGGAGUCUUAUCGCUUUGAUAUCCCCUUUUGCUUUAACAAUACUGGAUGGAACCAUUGAACAGAAUGGACUGAUCACUGUAAAUGAUAGUGAAAAUUGGAAUUACAUCAUUUGAUGACCAAUGUCCUUUACAUAGCAGACAAAGAGACUCAUCUAAAAUGAUGUUAAGAAACUUAUUACAUUUUAAAUCCUAUAUAAGCCAUGUUGGACCACUUUCACUUUCAUAGGAUGUUCAAGUGCACCCUCAUUUUCAGAAUGAAUUAUAGUCUUACGCCUUGGUAUUUAUCCGGAACUUGAACUGUCUUCCUCUUGCCAGGAAUACAGCACCAUCUCUGACUUCUUAGUCAUUGUUCAGAAGAUAAAUAGAGUAGCAGGGAUGCAUGAUAUAUGGGAAGAGAAACUUAAUGGUGUGAUGCUUAUGUGGUGUUGCUGAGAUACAGGAGGAAUAAAAAAUGGUGGAAGUUUAGGUCUCAUGGUGACCUGGAUAGCAACAUGCUUAUAAUUGUCUAAAAUGCGACCCACCCUAGAAAUGGUUUGCAAAUUUGUCAUAAGUUUAGAUUCAUGUCAAUUUGUAUGCUUUCCAUUAUCAAAGAAGAAAGGUAUAUUUUGUUUUGUAGUCACUUGGUUUUUCAAGCUUGUGAUACAUAGAGCGUUUCUGCACAAGUGCUUCAAAUCAAUGAACUGAUUAUCUUUUAUAAUGAAGCAUAAAAUUUUUAUCAAGAGAACAAUACUUAAGUUUUCAUGACUGUUUCAUGGUCAGGUGUUGAAUGUUCAUUUUUUUAGGUUAGGGUUAACAGACUCUGGGGCCAAGUGACAGCAGGAAAGUUGAUGAAAUGAAUACUUGGAAGCUUGUAGUCAUCUUUGCCUAAGCAUUAAAAAGGUUAUUCACAAAUGGUAGGAGGGAAGAAUAAAGAAGUGUAUUGCAAGAGAAGUAAUUGAGAUAAUGAGUUAAUAACAGUGGCGAAGGAAGAAUUUUUGUUUAAUUUGGUCAAAAGUUUGAGAAUAAGUGUUGUGGGGAAUUUGCUUUUUAAAAUGUGAAAUUUUGCCAGAAAAGACCUAUUCCUCUUUCUUCAAGUUGUCUUUGUUUUGGGACUGAAAAAAUAUCCUAUACAUUGAAUGUUUUCCAUGAUCACCAUGAGAUUAACAGGACAUCCAUGACUAUUUUCUAAAGGCACACCCACAAAAACCUUUAGAAGUUUCAAAAGUCGAGUGAAUCUCUCUGCUAGUAACUUGCAAGCUGACCUGAAUGCAGGGUUCCCCAGAUUCUACCACCACUUGACCAUAGUGGAGCUAAAGGUUGUCUGAUGCUUGUUGGGUGAAGAGAGGGGGAAUGAGGAACAGAAUUAUGAUCAGAUUGCAUUCCCCGACUUGGAGGAAUUUAUGCAGGUUUGGUUGGCACCACCACCCAGUAUCAUCUACUUCAAUUCUCGUGGUUGACAAAUUUCAACGACAAAGUCUAUUCUCCAAAAUCUGUCUGCACUUUUCUGGUACAAACUACAACUGAAACUGGUACGCAUUCUGUAUUUCUACGCUGAGAACACAUGGUUUCUGGAGACACAAUGUAUGUUAAACAUCACAAGCAUGAUGCACUUUAACAUUUGAUUGAUUGAGAAUUUGAGAUAACAAAAUGAUAUCAUUUGGGUUUCCA